rnacentral:lncRNA from 1 species
AUGUACACCUAGUAAGUUUACGGUUUACAGGACACACAUCGACCAAAUAUACAGCAAAAGUUCACUUCUGAAUUUAGGCAAGCAACAUAAAGAACUCAUAUUAAGAUACAACCAACAAUCUGUGCACAUACAAGAAACAUAUGCAUGUCAAUUCCAGAUAUUUGAAUGAACCUAAGUAAAAUAUUACAUGACCUUUGAAUUUAUACUAUACAAUGCUUAGGCUGUAGCAUUACCUGUUCCAUUUCUGUCAAAAGAACAAUCUGAACUCGGCCUGCAGCUUUACACCAAAAAUAAGACCAAUAACUUGUAGGCAUCACACAAUGAACUUCGUAGCUACAACAGGAGGUUUGUGACCAAAUUAUGCACUUAAAUGAGCAGAAGCACACACAAAAAUUAAUUUGUGGUCAAUAUUCAACCUGGUAGCAGAUAUAUCAUCAAAAUUCUCAGGUAUAUCAUUACAGUACUUAAUCCCCAUCGACAAUAUAUCAAUUAGAUUUAUAUCUUCGAACCUGCAACAAAUCUAGAAAUUAAAGAACAUUGUUCAAAGAAGAUUUUAUAUAAGACAUGAAGAAUGUAAUAUUCUAACUAUAAAUACUCUCUGGCACACCAAAUAAGAUAGCCUUAUGCAGAACAUAUGAACGUGAUAGUAGUGUUCAAGAGAGAGGGAGAGAUCACUUUGUUCAAACUUUUCAUCAAGAUUCACCCUCUUCUCUUUUUCCUCAGGUCUGCAUAUGUGUGUUUAAAAAACCAUAAAUCAAGGAGGCUGCAUAUUGGCAACCUAGAUUGGGGACAGGUACCAUGGCCAGCACCGUCUGGAACUCCAGCCUCGCUGUUCCUUCCCUCACUGCCAUUCUCCUCAUCCUCCACACCCACCAAGAAGAUCAUGCCGCCCUGCUCGCCUAGAUCCAGAAGCACGGCACGCGGCAGCAGCAGAUAGAAGAUCAGUCGCAUGGGUGAGAAAGAACAGAGAUUGUGCCAAAUCCAAGCCGUCCACGGUAGCAGCACCGGCGCAAGAACGGCAGCGACGCGGGCGCAACAGGCGGCAAGUUCUCAACAAAGAAGAGCACAACC